rnacentral:lncRNA from 1 species
UGGAUUAUCUGGGCUCAGGUUUUGUGAAAUUGAAAUACACUGAUGCAUAUCUCCUACUAAUUCGGAGGAGUCAAUCCCAUCUUGACUCACGCACUGACUUGAAAGUACUUGACUGUAUCCAGAAACUUUUUAUCACUGAAUUAAAAACUCAGUUAGUCUGAUAUCAAAGUACAAUGAGUUGCUUGUAAGUUACCAUGGCGAUCUCA